rnacentral:rRNA from 1 species
UACGUAGGGUGCAAGCGUUGUCCGGAAUUAUUGGGCGUAAAGAGCUCGUAGGCGGUCUGUCGCGUCUGCUGUGAAAACUCAGGGCUUAACCCUGAGCUUGCAGUGGGUACGGGCAGACUAGAGUGCGGUAGGGGGAGACUGGAAUCCCUGGUGUAGCGGUGAAAUGCGCAGAUAUCAGGAGGAACACCCGGGUGGCGAAGGGCGGGCUUCC